GUCCACGCCGUAAACGAUGGAUGCUAGCCGUCGGCCAGCUUGCUGGUCGGUGGCGCAGCUAACGCUUUAAGCAUCCCGCCUGGGGAGUACGGCCGCAAGGUUAAAACUCAAAGGAAUUGACGGGGGCCCGCACAAGCGGUGGAGCAUGUGGUUUAAUUCGACGCAACGCGAAGAACCUUACCAGCCCUUGACAUGAACCGGAAGCCUCGCAGAGACGUGGGGCGCCGCAAGGCCGGUUCACAGGUGUUGCAUGGCUGUCGU
rnacentral:rRNA from 1 species